AGCUCCAGUAGCGUAUACUAAAGUUGUUGCAGUUAAAAAGCUCGUAGUUGGAUUUCUGUCAAGACGAGGCUGACCCGCCCCUCUUUAGGUGUUGUGUGUGUCGGUUUACUUGUCUGACAUCUUUCCAGGAAAUGGUUACCUUACCGUUUAUUCGGCCGGGGUUUCUCAGGAACUGGGACGUUUACUUUGAAAAAAUUAGAGUGUUCAAAGCAGGCUUGCGCAAUUGAAUACAUUAGCAUGGAAUAAUAAUUUAGGACUUUGGUUCUAUUUUGUUGGUUUCUAGGACUGAAGUAAUGAUUGAUAGGGAGAAUUGGGGGCGCUAGUAUUCAGGGGCCAGAGGUGAAAUUCUUAUAUUCCCUGAAGACUAACCAAAGCGAAAGCUCUCGCCAAACGUCUCUUC
rnacentral:rRNA from 1 species